AUUUGUCUGGUUAAUUCCGAUAACGAACGAGACCUUAACCUGCUAACUAGAUCUUAUUAUCUUAUAAUUUGCAUCUUCUUAGAGGGACUAUGUAAUCUAAAUACAUGGAAGUUUGAGGCAAUAACAGGUCAGUGAUGCCCUUAUAUGUCCUGGGCUGCACGCGUGCUACACUGAUGCAUACAACAAGUGCCUAACCAGACAUGGUAUGGCAAUCUCGAAUAUGCAUCGUGAUGGGGAUAGAUCUUUGCAAUUAUAGAUCUUGAACGAGGAAUUCCUAGUAAGUGCAAGUCAUCAUCUUGCAUUGAUUAUGUCCCUGCCCUUUGUACACACCGCCCGUCGCUCCUACCGAUACCGGGUGAUCCGGUGAACCUUUUGGACUCUUUACUGGGAAAGAUAAGUAAACCAUAUCACCUAGAGGAAGGAGAAGUCGUAACAAGGUUUCCGUAGGUGAACCUGCRGAAGGAUCA
rnacentral:rRNA from 1 species